ACUCAAAUGAAUAGACGGGGGCCCGCACAAGCGGCGGAGCAUGCGGAUUAAUUCGAUGCAACGCGAAGAACCUUACCUGGGUUUGACAUGCGCCGGAAAGCUCUAGAGAUAGAGCCCCUUUUAGUCGGUGUACAGGUGGUGCAUGGCUGUCGUCAGCUCGUGUCGUGAGAUGUUGGGUUAAGUCCCGCAACGAGCGCAACCCUCGUCCCAUGUUGCCAGCAGCGCCUUCGGGCGGCUGGGGACUCAUGGGAGACUGCCGGGGUCAACUCGGAGGAAGGUGGGGAUGACGUCAAGUCAUCAUGCCCCUUAUGUCCAGGGCUUCACGCAUGCUACAAUGGCCGGUACAAAGGGCUGCGAUCCCGUGAGGGGGAGCGAAUCCCAAAAAGCCGGUCUCAGUUCGGAUUGGGGUCUGCAACUCGACCCCAUGAAGUCGGAGUCGCUAGUAAUCGCAGAUCAGCAACGCUGCGGUGAAUACGUUCCCGGGCCUUGCACACACCGCCCGU
rnacentral:rRNA from 1 species